UCUGUAUCACUGAUGCAUACACUGCGUUAUCUAUCUGCAAUUUCAAAACUGGAUUGAAGAUGACAGUAAGUUACUGAGAUCCUGG